UACGGAGGGUGCGAGCGUUGUCCGGAAUUACUGGGCGUAAAGCGCGCGCAGGCGGUCUUCCAAGUCAGUGGUGAAAGCCUGGAGCUCAACUCCAGAACUGCCAUUGAAACUGUUAGACUUGAGUACGAGAGAGGUGAGUGGAAUUCCCAGUGUAGAGGUGAAAUUCGUAGAUAUUGGGAAGAACACCGGUGGCGAAGGCGGCUCACUGGCUCGUAACUGACGCUCAGGCGCGACAGCGUGGGGAUCAAACAGG
rnacentral:rRNA from 1 species